AUAUAUAUAUAUACACACAAUUAUGUAAACUAAAUUCAAAUAUACAACUUGUUUAAUAUUUAUUUUAGUGACAUUGAAAAGCGUACUUCCAACAGAAAAUAAUAUAACUUCAUUUUCGAAGCGUUCUUCCAGACUAAAAUUACGUAACAAAAAUCCAAAGUCCAAUUUCCUAAUGACUUACAGUACAAUAACAAAGGGAAGAACUAUGAAUGGAUGUCUAUUUAUACAGUGUACAUAUUACGUGUGCGUGUUUAGUAUGUAGUGCGGUGAACCGCAGGAAGAAAUUACCUCAGCCCCCCUCACCCCCGUUAACACAAGCCCCGCUUUCUUACCACUCUUCACCGCAAGGUUAAACAAAAUUGUUAAUCACCCCGCAACAUUGAACUUCCGCGUGUUUGUACCGCGCAGCGCUCAAAGUCUUGAAAGUCUAUAACUGCAUCGUAAUAUCUCUGGAGAGUUUUGAGAAUUAGGAAGUUGCUGGGUUGGUUGUGGCCGACUUGUGCAUUGGUUCCAGCAGUAGUAUAUAUAUGCCUCGUCUGGUGCUUACCGCACGAGAAACAAAUGUGUAUGGAUUGGUCAACAUACUUCAGCCACGUUAUUGCGACUCAUCGCCUGCAAAUGGUGGGUGUUAAAUGUCCUGCUGGGAAUGACCGACACUUUUGUAUUUAGAUAUUAACAACAAAAAUGGGAGGGUUGACCUUGCCCUAUUUCCGUAUUGUCAGACAAUUAGAGCAAUAAGUGCCUUGGAUAUAAGCAAAGAAUUUGUGUAAUCUAUUUUUAACAAAAUAGGAUGAACCCAGUAUCCUGCAUUAUGCCUUUAUCAUCACCGUAAACUAACAAUUACCGAGGCCAUUAAUGGAGGCUUGCAACCUGCCAUUAAAUAUAA